CAUGUCUGUGCAGCUUCAAGGAGCCGAGCAGAAUUCCCCGCUGUCAUCAUCCUCCUCCCCUCCCUCCCUGCGGGCUGCCAGCAGGGAGGGCCGAUCACAGCCCCGCUAUUGUUCAAGUAACCUACAAAUGGAUUUGCAUGGAGGCAGAUAAUUGCUCCACGAAGAACUCAGACUGCACUGAUAAGAAAGGCCAGUUGGUGCAUCUAUUUUAUCCCACCUCCUUCAGCGAAAGAUUAUUUCGAGUAUCUUAUCAGAAAGAAGCAGCCUUUCAAAAGCUGUACCUUGAGGAGUGCCCAGAGUGGUGAUCCAUUCCAGCUCCAGCAGCAGACCCUGUGGAUGUCCCUCCACCUCAUCUCUGGGAACAGAGUUAGUGAUGUUCCCUGGCUGUUUGGUUGCUAUAAAUGAGGACAUUCUCCCCGAAUGCAAGUCAGCCCAGAUGCAGUGCCUGCGUGUCUGCAGUCAGUCUCAGCAUGGUCAGAACAAGAACCAAACAGCUCCACGAUUUGUGCUGCACACAGAGGCCUCUCUCACUGGGGAGCUGCUCUGCACUGCGAUUCUCACCCUCUGCACCGGCAGCAGUAGUGUCCAGACAUGCAGACAAACAUUUGAGGGUGACUUUUUUAGCUCCAUCAGUGCAGGGCUAAGCCUGCCCAAACUGCCUUCUACCAGCCCAGCAACAGUCCCAGCCCACGUGUCAGCAAAUGCUAUAGGAAUCUCUUCUGCUGAGGUGCAGGCUGCAGUUCCUGGUGCUUUUGUUGACUCUGUAGGAGGAGUGUUCGGUCUGCUGCUGUGGUUUUUUUUCUGUGUUGUUUUUUUUUCAGCAGCAGACAAACAGCAUCUCCAUCUUUCCUCCUCACAGCAGAAGAAUCCAUUGAGAUAUAUCUAACUAUUGGUUUUGUCAUUAUCUUUUAUGUAGCUGCCCCACUUUUCUCUUAGAAAUUCAGUCCAUUUGCCUGUCAGCAUGCUCUGUGGUGCACAAGCUUCUGGUUUACUUUCCCCAAGGAUUAUUCUGUUUCAGCAUUCCAAAUUAUCUGAGACAGCAGUUCAUCCUCCUCUGAGCACCUAGCUAGAGGGGGACGAGCCGAAGGGUCCUGUCUGCUACAAGAAGACAGCACACAAGCUUACCUGUUUCAUUUGCUGCCACUAUCGAGUCCUUUCUGUAAUUCCUCUGACUCCUUCCUUGCUGGGCCUGAUAAUCUCACAGAGCUGGUUUACUCCAUGUCUACGGGUCCUUAAAGGGGCACGUUAGACUUAGCACUGUUUGCAAAUACAUCAAGGAAGAUUUGUCUAUGGUAUAUAAGCGUACAGUCUCCUACAAAAACACUUUUUUCCUGUUUGGAAAUUUGUGAGGUUAAAUUAGAUAUGUGUGCAGAACAAACUCUGAAAGGCUCUGAGCACUCUCCGCAUAUAAUUGUCUAAGUGGAAGCGUGGUAGAUGUUAGGAUUAGCGUGAAGUACAUCAUACCUGGGACAGAGGAACCACUGUGAUGCUUUGCUUCCACAGCUUGAAAUACAUAUUACUUACAGAUGUUCUUACAUUCUUGGCCCUUACGGCUUUCCAGUGCUUCUUAACACACUCCUGAGCUUACAGAGGUGGUGCUGACUAGCUGCAGUACUUCUUUUCCUAACAUAAAUGAAGUUGUUGAGUGUGGCAAGGGAUAGUUUCUGUCAAGAGAGAUCAAGGAAUGGAAAUGUUCCUCUUCUGGGAUGUGUGUCAAGGUGUUCCAGAGACCCUUAGCCUAAAAUAGAGGAUGAAGUAAGAACAAAUGCCAGAGGCAAAGGCAAGAAAGGAGAAGUAGGCAAGCUCAAUAUUUCAGCAGGUGGGCAGGAAAAUGAAAAUGAGACAUGCAGACUUUUCUGGUUUUAAAUGCUUGAGAGCUGCUCAGAAACUAUUGUGAUGGGGUCAUUUAUAAACCUGGGCAGGCAAAUAGGAGUCAAAUGGUUGCGUAGUUAUGAGCAGCAAAACUUUCCAGAGCAGCGAAGGCUGGAAAUAACAUAAAUAAGGUAGUUGGGCAAUAGGUCACGGG
ensembl:lncRNA